UACGGGGGGGGCAAGCGUUGUUCGGAAUUACUGGGCGUAAAGGGCUCGUAGGCGGCCAACUAAGUCAGACGUGAAAUCCCUCGGCUUAACCGGGGAACUGCGUCUGAUACUGGAUGGCUUGAGUUUGGGAGAGGGAUGCGGAAUUCCAGGUGUAGCGGUGAAAUGCGUAGAUAUCUGGAGGAACACCGGUGGCGAAGGCGGCAUCCUGGACCGACAUUGACGCUGAGGCGCGAAAGCCAGGGGAGCAAACGGG
rnacentral:rRNA from 1 species